UAGUUGUUCAGUUGGGAUUUCAGCCGUCAAGUGUGUGCUCUCUCUAGCCGUGUCUUGACUACAGCAGUCGAUAUUAUAUUCUUGUAUAAAGGAGUGACAUAGCACUACUACUACUUCUCAUACUGUCUGAAUGAAAAAGUAACAAAAAAAAACAUAACAGUGAAAUUUAAGUUAUUGUCGCUAGUAAAAGUUCGUGAAUUGGGAUAUAUAGUGUUGGAUUAUUCAAUGUGGUGUUCAAUGUAUAUACAUUUGAACGAACAGUCUUAAUACUGGUAUAGUCAGAUGUGAAUACAGAAGCUACAACUCACCAUACCAGACAAAAGCUGGAAUCCUAAUCGACAAUUCACUUACAUAUUCGUGUCACUUUAAUCUUGUAACGUGUAGUUGAUGGAAGUUUAGUUUUUAAAAGGGUUUUGUCAAUCUGAUAAUUGUGGGCUGUUUGUGACUGGACCCAGGAGGCUAAUAUCAGUAAAGGCACCACACAUGAGUAAGAAAUGUCCGUGAGACGAGAUUACGAUGAAAUUGAUUAAAUAUCGUUUGUUAGUUCGUGUUGACCAACUGUUUACUACAUGUGGUCAAUUCCACCGGAUUGCUUCUAUCAGUUCUGAAUAGUCUCGCACUGGUUUCUGGAAGUGUAAUAGACGUUUUAAUUACUAUAAGACACUUGUGUUCUAUUGAAACUGUGGUUUGUUCUCCGUGUGAUUCCGACAAGUGAAAUCAGUCUAUAAUACGGUGUUCUGUGUACAGAAUAAAAAUAAGGGAAUUGCAACAGUUGAAUAAAAAUCGUAGAAAAGAGAGGGUCCAGAACUGUAUCAGACUCGGGGUGGUGAUAAUAAGUUCCAAUUUUACCGAACGAUUGAUAGUCAAUUUUACCCAACGACUGCUAUAUAGUCAAUUGCUAGCUUAUAGAUAAUGGUACAUUGUGCUUAUUAUUAACAAUAUACGUUUUGUGAUCGCUAACGUUUGGAUUAUUUUCUACAUAGAGGAAAUGACUGUGUUCGUUGACGCAAGUUAGAUACCGUUUACGUCACACCAAUUCCGAUCACACUUCUAAAGUGGAAGUCUGUUCAACUGUCGAUUUUUUCUGAACCGCCUUCAUAUUAACAAAUAAUUUAUUUAUUAAUAAAAUCCAUUAAAAUCAAUUCAGUGGUGUAGUAGAAUGAGACUAUGAUAGUUUUUGGCUGUGGAAUUGACGUUUGUUUUAUGUAAAUCAAGUAUUGGAUUAUUUUCUAUGAGGAUGGGAUAAUGUGUUUAAUUUUGUUGGAUAUUUUAUAUAUGAAUCUCCCCUGAUGUAAGGCUGUAAUAUGAUCCGUAUUGUUCUAUAUACAUAUAUCCUACUACACAUAAUGUACUUUACAGAAAGCAGUGAUCCUGACUCGCCUUACUCUAACGUUCCCCCGCCACGUUUCGUCAGUACACCAACCAACUUUACAGUACGGCCAGGUGACAGUGUCAUCUUACCCUGCUCUAUACAACAUCUGGGCACUAAACGGGUUGUUUGGCGACAAGUUGAAAGGGAAAAGUUUUUAACAAUUGGAACACAGACUUGGGUACAGAGUGAUAAUUUUGUUGUGCAACACGAGGAGAAAUUGGACAUGGACAUCACCGUGUGGAAUCUUUAUAUCAAACGAGUCACACAAGAUUUAGCUGGGGAGUAUGAAUGUCAAACUACUGCUAUUGCAGGUCAUUCUAGACGAGUCUACUUACAGGUUGUUGGUUCACCGAUAAC